rnacentral:rRNA from 1 species
GAUGAACGCCGGCGGCGUGGAUAAGGCAUGCAAGUCGAACGACCCAGCUCCACUUUUUUAGAAAGCAAUUUCAAAGAAAAGUGGGGCUGGAUAGUGGCGAACGAGGUAGUAAUACAUAGGAACUUCCCCCAGAGUCGUGAAUAAUCCGUCGAAAGACGGACUAAUACACGAUGGUCUCGCGAGAGUAAAGUUUUAACGCUUUGGGAAAGGCCUGUGCGAUAUCAGCUAGUUGGCAGUGUAAUGGACUACCAAGGCUAUGACGUCUAGGGGAGCUGAGAGGCUGACCCCCACCGAUGGUACUGAGACACGGACCAUACACCUACGGGUGGCUGCAGUCGAGAAUCUUCCGCAAUGGACGAAAGUCUGACGGAGCGACGCCGCGUGAUUGAUGAAGUCCCUCUGGGACGUAAAGAUCUUUUAUGAGGGAAGAAGUUUAUUGACGGUACCUCAUGAAUAAGAGGCUCCUAAUCUCGUG